AGAUACCUAAUUUUCACUAACCCUAACCCUAAUCACUUUCAUUUCUUCCUCUACAACGUACUGCCUCUCUCUCUCUGGCAAUAAGCGAUUCUAAAACCCAAAAAAAUCUCUGUCUCACACCUUCGUUUUCUCCAUAGUUUCUCCUCUUCUUCUUCUCCAUAAUUUCUUGUCUCUACCGCCGAACUAAUCGAAGAAGAUGUGAUCUCACGGGCAAAGUGAUGAGUUCGAGGCGGAAAGAUCUCAGAUCUGUUUUUGUGUUGUCGUCGGCAGAAAAAGAGGACACGACGGAGCUUGAAGACGGCACCAGAUCUUCUUUUUUAGCCUUCGACUUGGGUUUACCCGGCGCGAUUUUGGUCUAGAUCGAUUUUAUCUCUCUCCUGCGGCUCUUCGUGGUGGCUAAUUUCUUGUGCGGGGUUUCAUGGCGAGGAGUCUCAGUAGCUGUUCAGAGCAGCUGCGGCGGUGGUGCACACUGACUCUGAUAAGCUUAGUCUCAGGUAGGUCUCUGAUGCUAGGACCUGUGUUUCUAAGUUAUGAGCCAAGUGUGAGGGGUGAGAAGGUUUGCUCAGCCUGUUAGUGACCAAGCCGUUGGGAAUGGAGUUAUUUGUGGAGUCAGACCUGAUCAGCAAUCGUUAUGGUUGAUACUUUUAUCGAUGAGGAUGAUGUUUCAAGGAGACAAGGACAUGCAGGAAGUGGAGAAGGAAACAUUGGGGAUGAAAACAUAGUGGUUUUGGAACUUAUUUAUUCUUUUAUGUGUUGUGUCAGUGUGUGAUAAUUAUCAAAGUGAUGGUUUUUUUAUAAUAACAUGGAUCCUAUAUUUGUUUCUAUUAUAAAAUUUGUGUUUAUCAGAUUUCAAAUUUUACAAAAUUAUGACUAUUAUAAAAUUUGUACCAGAGUAGAUCUUGUUUCUUUGUCGUUUGGGUCUGAUGCUCUCUGUUUUACUUUCGUGUGUAAUAUCUAUCUUUUAAAUAAUGCAGAGCAUCUGUUGAGAU